GCCGAUGUAGAGGCCCAUGAAGGACGUCAUGGCGGUGGCGAGGUUCAGCAGCAGCGCCUGGCGCACCGACAGGCCGCUGUGCAGCAGGAUGGCAAAAUCGCCUGUGGGGGCCAAAGAGUGAAUUCCAAUCACACAACUAGCCAAUGUUUAGCUGCCUCUGUAGGUGGCGCUGUUUUUCUUGCAGUGUCAACUUCAGCAUGCGCGUGUAUGCAUCACCUAGCUCGUGCGGCAGCUCGUGGCAGAAGACGGCCAACGACGUGGCCAGUCCGGAUUUCCACGAGAGCGAGAAGGCGGCGCCCAUCGCCAGGCCGUCGGCGAAGUUGUGGAUGCCGUCCCCUAAGGACUCGUUCCCCUACAGAGGUAACACAGUACAGUGGAGAAAUGCAACUUAUGGCUGACCAUGGGCAGCAGGUGCAGCAAGGCGUCCCCCGACAGCGAGCCCACGGCCAGGCUGACGCAGAACUGGAUGCACAGCUGGAAGACGCUGGUGCACGACGUGCACAGCAGCAGCAGGAUGCCGACCAUGGACAUUAGCGUGAUGACCACGUUGGCCAGCGUUGCGUAGAGGUGCUGUUUGCUUCCAGGUGUCGGUGUCGGCUGUCAUGAUCGUGAUCAUGAUGCGCGUGUUCGUCCUCCUCGUUUCCAUGGCUCGACUCCAAGCUGGGUCCCACGUCCAGAGACUUCAUGAGAGCCUCCAGAUCUACGAGUUCCAUAAAAUAUAGCCCAGUUGGUGCAUGAUGUAAUCCAGGAAGAAGCUCUCCUCAGGGAGCGAUCGAAAGCAUCGACCUCGCAGGGCGUGGUACAGGACCCGACCCAGAACUGCGCCCGCCGCCUGGGUUUGCUCCGCUGAUGGGGCGCCGACCUCCAACAUGAUGUCGCUUGCUGUGACGCAGCUCUGAUCAUUCAACCUUAACCAACCCAACUGGAUUUGACCCCAAAGAAGAAGUAGAGACCCCGAUAAGUCUACACGACUCCCCAUCAAGCAUUCACCUUUCCUGGGAAGUGUUCUACCUCCUGCCCCCACCUCCCCUGGGCCGCCGCCGUGCACAUCGUGUCGGGAGAGGACAGGUACAGGACGCAGCCAGCGGCGAGGGUAGUAAAUCCCGACACGUCCACACCGUGUUGUUCUUCGUC